rnacentral:tRNA from 1 species
GCGAGAAUAGCUCAGCUGGUAGAGCGCAACCUUGCCAAGGUUGAGGUCGCGGGUUCGAAACCCGUUUCUCGCUCCA